UUCGGCGGUCAUAGCGUCGGGGAAACGCCCGGUCCCAUUCCGAACCCGGAAGCUAAGCCCGUUCGCGCCGAUGGUACUGCCUGGGGGACUGGGUGGGAGAGUAGGUCGCCGCCGGACAUCUUUUGUGGGUGAGGGGUCGUGGGU
rnacentral:rRNA from 1 species